rnacentral:rRNA from 1 species
UACGUAGGUGGCAAGCGUUGUUCGGAAUUAUUGGGCGUAAAGGGUGAGUAGGCGGUUUGUUAAGUCGGUCGUGAAAGCCCGGGGCUCAACCCCGGAGGGUCGACCGAUACUGGCAGGCUAGAGUACAGAAGAGGUAACUGGAAUUCCCGGUGUAGCGGUGAAAUGCGUAGAUAUCGGGGAGGAACACCCAGAGGCGAAGGCGGGGUUACUGGGCUGAUACUGACGCUGAAUCACGAAAGCUAGGGGAGCAAACGGG